CCUAUUAUACAGCUGAAACUGCGAAUGGCUCAUUAUAUAAGUUAUCGUUUAUUUGAUAGUACCUUACUACUUGGAUAACCGUGGUAAUUCUAGAGCUAAUACAUGCUAAAAAUCCCGACUUCGGAAGGGAUGUAUUUAUUAGAUUAAAAACCAAUGCCCUCCGGGGCUCACUGGUGAUUCAUGAUAACUUCUCGAAUCGCAUGGCCUUGCGCCGGCGAUGGUUCAUUCAAAUUUCUUCCCUAUCAACUUUCGAUGUUUGGGUAUUGGCCAAACAUGGUUGCAACGGGUAACGGAGGGUUAGGGCUCGACCCCGGAGAAGGAGCCUGAGAAACGGCUACUACAUCCAAGGAAGGCAGCAGGCGCGCAAAUUACCCAAUCCCGACUCGGGGAGGUAGUGACAAUAAAUACUGAUACAGGGCUCUUUUGGGUCUUGUAAUUGGAAUGAGUACAAUUUAAAUCCCUUAACGAGGAACAAUUGGAGGGCAAGUCUGGUGCCAGCAGCCGCGGUAAUUCCAGCUCCAAUAGCGUAUAUUAAAGUUGUUGUGGUUAAAAAGCUCGUAGUUGAACCUUGGGCCUGGCUGGCCGGUCCGCCUCACCGCGUGUACUGGUCCGGCCGGGCCUUUCCCUCUGUGGAACCCCAUGCCCUUCACUGGGUGUGGCGGGGAAACAGGACUUUUACUGUGAAAAAAUUAGAGUGCUCCAGGCAGGCCUAUGCUCGAAUACAUUAGCAUGGAAUAAUAGAAUAGGACGUGUGGUUCUAUUUUGUUGGUUUCUAGGACCGCCGUAAUGAUUAAUAGGGACAGUCGGGGGCAUCAGUAUUCAAUUGUCAGAGGUGAAAUUCUUGGAUUUAUUGAAGACUAACUACUGCGAAAGCAUUUGCCAAGGAUGUUUUCAUUAAUCAGGAACGAAAGUUAGGGGAUCGAAGACGAUCAGAUACCGUCGUAGUCUUAACCAUAAACUAUGCCGACUAGGGAUCGGACGAUGUUAUAUUUUGACUCGUUCGGCACCUUACGAGAAAUCAAAGUGCUUGGGCUCCAGGGGGAGUAUGGUCGCAAGGCUGAAACUUAAAGAAAUUGACGGAAGG
rnacentral:rRNA from 1 species